rnacentral:misc_RNA from 1 species
UAGACCUUUCCUUGACACGUUCCUGCAACAAAUAUAUUAAGUUGGUUUGAUCAAACUAACUACAGGUAGUAUUUCCAUAACAUACAGGAUAUACUCUUAACUUCCCUAAUUUGUUCCACAUAGAAACACCCAGAGGAAAAGAACUACGAAGGGCAUUCCAAGUUAAAUCCGUAAACGCCUCACAGAUGUGCAUAUAUAUAACAUUUCCAUUAGUAAAUAUGUGCACAGAUGAACAUUCUGCAUACAUACGUAGCUACAGAUAUGCAUACAUAUCGGACAUGCAUAAUAUGCGACAUCAGUUAAUUUUUAAAGGAAUUAGAAAGAUAAAUAUUG